rnacentral:rRNA from 1 species
GACGAACGCUGGCGGCGUGCUUAACACAUGCAAGUCGAGCGGUAAGGCCUUUCGGGGUACACGAGCGGCGAACGGGUGAGUAACACGUGGGUGAUCUGCCCUGCACUUCGGGAUAAGCCUGGGAAACUGGGUCUAAUACCGGAUAUGACCUCCUAUCGCAUGGUGGGUGGUGGAAAGAUUUAUCGGUGCAGGAUGGGCCCGCGGCCUAUCAGCUUGUUGGUGGGGUAAUGGCCUACCAAGGCGACGACGGGUAGCCGACCUGAGAGGGUGACCGGCCACACUGGGACUGAGACACGGCCCAGACUCCUACGGGAGGCAGCAGUGGGGAAUAUUGCACAAUGGGCGAAAGCCUGAUGCAGCGACGCCGCGUGAGGGACGACGGCCUUCGGGUUGUAAACCUCUUUCAGCAGGGACGAAGCGCAAGUGACGGUACCUGCAGAAGAAGCACCGGCUAACUACGUG